CUCGGUAUAGCUGCUCCAGAUUUUGUCUUCCCUAUACUGGUUGAUGAAGGCGGCGGUGCCGGUGGAAUUGCAAGCCACCAUAUGGAAGCCAGCUUCGGAGAGACGGUCGAAGGCCUGCUCCAGCCCAAGGCCCAUGGAGAAGAUGCUGCCCAGUGGGAAGAAUGGACCUUUAGUCCUAGAAGCAGGCACGUUCAGGAUGAAUAAAUGAACAUGGAUGAACAAGAGAAAACUGACCUGCUUCUGUUAUAAGAAUGGUCUGCCACUCUAGCUUCUCUGGAAACAUCUGGAAUGUUUGGCCUACUGCCCUGCAACAUCAUUCCUCAUCUGGAUAUUUUUGAAUGCUAUAAUGUAAACCUCAUCACUAAUUAUGGAAAAGUUGAUAGAUCUAUUGGUUCUUCUUUUUUUAAAAAGGCCAAUCACAUGUACUCUCAAAUGUACUCUGUGCAUGUACUCUCAACUGUCACAAAAUAGAGAACAGCAAAUAGUUUAGUCGUCGUGUGUUGUCUAAAAGUAAACCUCUUUCUAAUGAUGCACUUUAUAAUGCACUGAUGCAUUACAGAAUCAGAAUUUGUUAGCUGGCACCAGUGUUAGUACUGAAUACUAUUACUGCAACCCUGAAUUCUUUUAUAUAAGAGUGCAAAGGUCUUGAACAUCACACAAAAGCCCUUCAUUCAUAUAUAUAUAUAAGCAACUAACUUCUAUAUAUUAUAUAAUAAAAAAUAUAAAUAUAAAUAAAAUAUAUACAUAUACAUAUACAUAUAUCAGAAUGGAGGGCUUUUGUGUGUUGUGCGUAUCGCACAUACAUUUUACAUGUGAAGCAAAUCUAGCAAGGUCUGAGCCAAUUCUGGGGUAGCAGCAGGUUAAAGAGAGUGUGAUGAGUAAAAACCCUGUGCAGCCACUGAAUAAGUAAAUAGUAAUUUGUCUACAUCAGUUAGAAACACUGAUGCAGAGAAACUUCAUAAUGCUCAGGUUUUUUGUGAAAUACACAUCUUACUUGACUUUUGGACAUCCAUUGUAAUACAUGCACUGUAAAGCUCAUGUUGUAUUUAAUGAGGGGAUGUCCUACAAAUCAGUUAGUUAGCCAUUACAUGGAAAAUAUCUUAUAAAUAGGAUGGGUUAUUAUUUAUUUAUUAAAACAUUUUUAUACCACCCAAAACCUACGUCUCUGGGCGGUUUAGAACAGAAUAAAAACAAAGUAAAACAUUCGUUAAGACAAAAAUGGAGGGGGGGAACACACACAUUACAACAAUUUAAAAAUUUUUAAAUAAUAUUUUAAAACAGCAUUAAAUUAUGCUCAGCGUUUCUGUAAUAGAGAUCUGGCUCCAGGCAGCUGGUUAGAUCAAGAGGUACAGGACCUGGGAGAGCUCCAAGGGACAGCAGGGGCUGAUUCAAGAAGGUUCAAAGCCCAAUAGAGCUUUUCUGUCCCUAAGCAAGUUCUAAGGACUGCUGGACUGCCCAGGAAAGUGCACUUGCAAGGAACAGAAAGGGUGGAGCUCCCACUCCAAGUUAUUCA